rnacentral:rRNA from 1 species
AGCAAGAGAGAGCUUGCUUUCUCGAGCGAGUGGCGAACGGGUGAGUAACGCGUGAGGAACCUGCCUCAAAGAGGGGGACAACAGUUGGAAACGACUGCUAAUACCGCAUAAGCCCACGGGUCGGCAUCGACCAGAGGGAAAAGGAGCAAUCCGCUUUGAGAUGGCCUCGCGUCCGAUUAGCUAGUUGGUGAGGUAAUGGCCCACCAAGGCAACGAUCGGUAGCCGGACUGAGAGGUUGAACGGCCACAUUGGGACUGGGACACGGCCCAGACUCCUACGGGAGGCAGCAGUGGGGAAUAUUGCACAAUGGGGGAAACCCUGAUGCAGCGACGCCGCGUGGAGGAAGAAGGUCUUCGGAUUGUAAACUCCUGUUGUUGGGGAAGAUAAUGACGGUACCCAACAAGGAAGUGACGGCUAACUACGUGCCAGCAGCCGCGGUAAAACGUAGGUCACAAGCGUUGUCCGGAAUUACUGGGUGUAAAGGGAGCGCAGGCGGGAAGACAAGUUGGAAGUGAAAUCUAUGGGCUCAACCCAUAAACUGCUUUCAAAACUGUUUUUCUUGAGUAGUGCAGAGGUAGGCGGAAUUCCCGGUGUAGCGGUGGAAUGCGUAGAUAUCGGGAGGAACACCAGUGGCGAAGGCGGCCUACUGGGCACCAACUGACGCUGAGGCUCGAAAGUGUGGGUAGCAAACAGGAUUAGAUACCCUGGUAGUCCACACCGUAAACGAUGAUUACUAGGUGUUGGAGGAUUGACCCCUUCAGUGCCGCAGUUAACACAAUAAGUAAUCCA